AUUGAACGCUGGCGGCAGGCCUAACACAUGCAAGUCGAGCGGAUGAUGGAGCUUGCUCCUGAUGCAGCGGCGGACGGGUGAGUACAGCCUAGGAAUCUGCCCGGUAAUGGGGGAUAACGUUCCGAAAGGAACGAUAAUACCGCAUACGUCCUACGGGCGAAAGUAGGGAAUCUUCGGACCUUGCGUUAUCGGAUGAGCCUAGGUGGGAUUAGCUAGUUGGUGAGGUAAUGGCUCACCAAGGCGACGAUCCGUAACUGGUCUGAGAGGAUGAUCAGUCACACUAGAACUGAGACACGGUCCAGACUCCUACGGGAGGCAGCAGUGGGGAAUAUGGGACAAUGGGCGAAAGCCUGAUCCAGCCAUGCCGCGUGUGUGAAGAAGGUCUUCGGAUUGUAAAGCACUUUAAGUUGGGAGGGAGGGCUUAAGGCUAAUAUCCUUGAGUUUUGACGUUACCGACAGAAUAAGCACCGGCUAACUCUGUGCCAGCCGCCGCGGUAA
rnacentral:rRNA from 1 species